rnacentral:lncRNA from 1 species
UUUUCUCAUGUUUCAGCCUCCUUGGACCAAGCAAAAUAAGCUGACCUUUGAAGAGAACAGAUCUUGAGGGGGAUCUGUAGAUGGACACAGGGAGAUUCCAGGUGCCUCAGAGGGAUCAACUUGCAGUUCCAAGUUGUCCUCAGGGAAAUCUUGCCAUUUUUUGGGAUAAUGAACUGAAUUCUCAUCACAGUGGAAUACGUAUCAUCGGAAGGGAUUUUUAAAGGGCAGGGUGAGAAGUGGAUUGAGAAUUUCGCAUAGCACCAAGGUUAAACAGAAGCCAACUACGAAACAAAGCCAGAAGGGCACUCAAGCAAAUAAUCAAAAUCAAAUCCUUACCACGCUGCCAGGGACCGAUAUAUCCAGAGCAUGGGACCAGGAGCUGGACUCACGGUGGGAUCUCUGAUCAGUCACAGAAGGAGCUUGACGAGCUCAUGGGGUCUCUCUCCCUUCAUCACCUCUUUAAAGACCUCUUCAAAUACGUUCACACUCUGAGUUACUGGGGGUUUGGACUCCAACAUCUGAAUUUUAAGAGGACACAACUCAGUCCGUGACAGCGGGUCUUCUCGAAGUCUCGUGGGGAAGAGUGGUUCUUUGCAGUAAGUCAUUUCCUG